ACACGAUGCUCUUCAGAUCUGUCCACUAGCCUCCAAAUCACACUGGGCCCAGAGGUGAUGCAAUGUUCACCAGAAAAGCAACGAAUG